GACGAACCGUGCGAACGUUGUUCGGAAUCACUGGGCUUAAAGGGCGCGUAGGCGGGUUUUCAAGUCUGUGGUGAAAUCCUCCAGCUUAACUGGAGAAGUGCCGUGGAUACUGGAGACCUCGAGGAGGGUAGGGGGAUCUGGAAUUCCUGGUGUAGCGGUGGAAUGCGCAGAUAUCAGGAGGAACACCGGUGGCGAAGGCGGGAUCCUGGGCCAGUACUGACGCUGAGGAGCGAAAGCGUGGGGAGCAAACAGG
rnacentral:rRNA from 1 species